UUUCAAAUAAGUAGUUUCGCGGACGAAACUAAUUUUAAGGGGUGGAGAAUGUAACAUACCGAAAUAUUGGUAGGCGAAUGUCAAACUUUAGUCAAAAUGACCAAAGUGCGAGGUUGGUACGCUUCGGAAAGGCCGAAGGCGUCAAAAAGAGCAAAAGUGCAUUAUAAGAGGUCUUCGAGAGCAAGCUGGACCAAGUCUGCAAGACUGCAGCCUUGGUGCUCUCAGGGACCGGUCCCUGAGUUGAAGGACCUGUAAGGUACCGGACUUCUAAAAUUAUGAAGUUACGGUGUACAUUUGAUUGGAAAGCCAUUUGAAUGGUUCCGGUGAGGUUGCGGUGGAAUGUAACAUACCGAAUUUUAAAUAUAAAAGUGGAAAUAAAUAAAAUAGUAUGAGAUACUAUUUUUAUUGAAUUUAGAGAAGUGAAAUAUAAGUUGGAAAUGACAUGUGCUGAAAUCGGAAUGAAAACAGAAGAUUUAGAAUUUUCUGUACGAAACGGGACAGAUAAAUUAGCAGAAAUUGCACAGUAUCAGAAAAUUGUGAAAACUGGAGGAUAUGUCAGAAAUAUUUUUAUGAUGCUAGAUUUAAAGUUUCAUGUCAUUCUGACACCCGGAAGGUGAAAAAUAAAAUCGAACUCUAUCUGCUAAAGAUUACAGUUCGGUAUAGCUUUCGGUGACCAAACGUGGUCGAAACUGAAAAGUUGAGAUAUAUUCGGUUUUAUUAAGUUAAACCGAGCCUGGUGUCAAAUUUGAGCGAAAACGGACAUCCAGAAGGGCUCCGUCGGAAUCGUACAGAUUCUGAGCAGGUAACUAAAAGUUGUAAUAGUGCAUAUAAGGGAUUUAAUCCCUUUCUUCUCCCUUCUCCCUCAACCGUGCAACACACCACGCCACACACACACACGCACGCAUACAUGGAGGGAGAGAGAAACCUCCCUUUCUCUCUCUAAAUCUCUCCCAAAAUUGAUGGAUUUGGUGGAGAUUGAAGCUUGGAAGUGAAUCAUCUUCAUCUUCUUCAUCUUCUCCAUGGUUUGGAGCAAGCUUUGAGGUGAGCAUCUUGAGCCCUCUCAUGGUAGAUCUCUAGGAUUAGCUUUGUAUGCUCUAGAGAUGGAUUUAGUAGAAUGCUUAGAUGCUAAUUAGAGGUUUAUUGCUUGAUUCAUGAAGUUAAAUUGUGGAUUUAACAAUAAUGGCAUCUAGGGCUUCAAAAAUGGGGUUUUAUAAAAUGUAUGGGUUUGAUCUCAAUUGACCCUCUGUUAACCUAAUUGCUAGGUAAACGAACGUGUUGGCGAAGUCGGUUCGGCGAUUCGUCGAGCCGUUGUAAAGAUAUUGAAGAAACGGACUAUUUAACUUCGUUUCCGCCUGAAGGGCCGAGGCGACAUCGUAAAAUCGUGAAAAUGGAAUCGGGGGCUCAUGGCAACAAACCGUAGACCUAUAAUUUUCGGAGCCGUGAUUCGACGCACGGUUGGUGCGCAACUGCAAGAUCGGGCCAAACCAGAUGCCGGGUGCCACGGAAGGCUGAUUGCAAGUGACUACAAGCAAUCGGAGAGCGAAUCGAGGUGGAUUGUGCUCACCGAAGCGACUAGGUCACCUCUAUGUCUAAGAGAAAUGUGAAUCCAUGUUGAUGCAUAUAAAUACUAGAUAAUGCAUGUAGAUGAUGUAUGUAAAUAAUGCUAAAUAAUGCAUGUGAGCAUAUUGUAAAGAAUGCAUGUUAAUGACAUAAUGUAAAUAUGCUAGUUAAUACAUGUAUGAUGACGUGAUGAGAAAAUGCUAGAUUAUAUGCAUGUUAACACAUUAUGAAUAUGUUCUAAUUGUUAAAUGCAAGCUCUAGAUGGUAAAUAUAUGAUAGCAUUAUGAGAUCAUGUGAGAUAGACAUGAAUGUUAACAUGUUGUAGAUAAGAUGCAUAUUGGCAUUGUGAGCAUGAUGCUUAGUGGAAUAAAUGCUAGGCGCAUUUUAGAACUCUGAGAUCAUGUUAGGAAGAAUAUGCAUGUUGGCAUCAUAUAAUGCAUGAUAGAUAAAAUGUGGAUAUCUAUUGAACCCGAUGUGGACAAUUAGGAUGUCGAAUAGAUCGAGUGGCACUUAACCUAAUGUAUGAAACAUAGAUUGGACAUGAAUGACAAUGAACCUAGUGUUAUUAAACAUAGAUCGAGUGGCAUCUAACCUAGUCUUAAAGAAUAUAGGUUGAGAAUGAACCUAGAGUUAACUAAAUCUAGGUGUGUGGCAUUAACCUAGUGUCGUGAACAUAGGUUAUGGAUUGAACCUAGAGUUAAAGUAAACCUAGGUUAUGUGAUAGAGGCAUUGAACCUAGAGUCAGUUGGAUUUAGGGUGGAAAGAACACUGGACCUAGAUAGGUCGAUACUAUAGGGUUUAAGACCAACCCUUGAGUUGUGAAAUGGAUUCCGGAAUCCCUAGUAAAGUGGCCGCAAAGGAAGCGGUGGAAAUUGUGGUAAAAGAGAUGGCAAGUGAAUCAUAACUGCAGGUAUGUGUGAUUCUCCUCGCCUGGCAGUGAUUCAAUGGGUAUGUGUGGUUCUCCUCGCCCAUUUAGCUUAUCGAAUGAUGCCGCCUAGAUUGACUUGAACCAUUGCUGGGUAAGAGCGAUGUGGUCGCUGCAAGAUGACUAAGUCACGACUUGAACCAUUGUUGGGUGUGAUGUGAUGAGUUCGCCGCCAGAUGGCUAAGUCAUGACUCGAGUCGUUGUUUGGUUCAAUGCGAUGAGUUCGCCACCAGAUGGUUAAGUCAGAGGUGCGGUAGGCUGUGACGGCAGCCAGGCUGAGGUGCAGCCAUUGCACGGACUAUCCGCGGAUGAUUGACUCGAGGCCGAGUCGGGCGGUUAGCUUGAUUAGGUUAAGGAAAACCCUAUAAGCUAGUAAUAGAGGCAAGAGCUAAGGUAAUAGAGACCUUAGAAGCAAGCGGAACUUGAGUUGUGAACCUAAAGUAGUAGAAACCUUAGAAUUGAAUGACAUGAACUAAAGUUAGUAAAGUGAAUGUAGAAUCAAUAGAUCUACUAGUUGUUUUUACAGUUGCAUAGUUGCAUAAUAUUCAUAAUGCAUAUUGUGAGGCAUGUUAUCUGUUAGUUGUAUAAUUACAUUACGAUAUAUAUAUCUGUAGAUGUUUUUGGACUAACAUGAUUGCAGUGCCUCCUUGGACCUAUUGGUCGAGCUCCUCCCUUGGGUGGCCGUACCCACUGGGAACCAUGGAGUUGGUUCUCACCCCACGUUGUUUUGGGGUGUUACAGGUUCGUACGUGAGCGGCGCGUCGACGCGAGGCAAGGGCGUAGCUCCAUGGAUAGCGCCCUACCCCAGAGACCAGAGAUAGCGGUACCCCGAGUCGGCAUUGCUUAGGGGUAUAGAAAAGGAAAAAGAACACAAUGUAUCAAACUUGUAAAAAUAAAUGAUGUAAUAACUUAAUUGUAUUGGAAGUUGAAUGUAAUGUAAAAUGAAAACUGUGAUGAAUGCUUGUAAUAACAUAGGAUGUGUUAUGUUGUUUGAUACCUUCCUUGUGCAAUCUUGCUUGAAUACUGUACCUGGUUGAAACUUCUUGUACUUGUAUUGAUUGCGACGCCUAGGACGUACAGGGAAAACUCUGUCCGUUCGACGGUCUAUCAACGUGCCCGAACUCGACCAAAUAGGCGGGGCUCGGGGCGUGACAGAUAAAGUGGUAUUAGAGCAUAAAGUAAAGAAUGGGAAAAUGGCUUAGUUGGACCUAGGAGACCCUAGGAUAGUAAACCAUAGGAGAAUAAGGCUCAUAAGAGAUGAGGACUUAUGACUUAUGGCGAAAGGUUAAUUGAUUGGGUUGUGUUGAAACCUCUAUGAUGGAUAUUAGAGAUAGACUUGAGGUGUGGUUUAUUCUCAACCGAGGGUGUUCAUGUUGGGCACGCGACAAUAUGAAACCGAGUGAUUAGAAUAGACGCCCUUGCGUGACUUUCGCUCGAUUUGUGUCAAUGUUAAGUUAUUUCGCACUCGACCUGGAGGGUUGAGAACUAAUCGAGUUGUCGUAUUUCAGGAAGCGAUGGCACCGCAUAGGCGACCUCCGUCUAGAUCGACGCGGGGUGGGACAGGUGAUGUCCCUGAGCAAUCCGAGGCAAGCGGAGACCCGGUGCUCCGCGAGCAAAUGAGUACGCUCAUGGGCGUAGUGCUGUGACAGGAGGAGCAGAUCAAGGAGCUUCAUGAGUUGUUGGCACGACAGCUACGGGGCUGCGCCGGUAGCAGCGCGCCGUGUACCGACAGGAGUUGCGAUGGAUUCGGGGGCAGUGGCCCCUGGUUCUGUGGAAAUGGAGGCGGAAAAAGAGCGGGCUUUGGCGGCCCUUAUGACCUUCAAGAGGUUUGAUCCGCCUGUCUUCGAUCGAGAGAAUGUCGAUCCGUGGAUCGUGGAGAUGUGGAUUGACUCUAUGGAAAUGCUCUUCGAGGAGCUGUACACCUUGGAGCGGGACAAGGUGCCCCUAGACGUGCACUGUUUGAAGUUGUCGGCAAAAGUGUGGUGGAAAGGUAUUAGACAUAAUCGAUCGCCUAGUCUCCCUCCUAUUGCAUAGGAUGAGUUUCAGGGAUUGGUGUUUUCGACUUACUUUCUCGACACUGAAAAGAGAAAGCUUUAGGACAGGUUCAGGAAGUUACGGCAAGGAGACCGCUCUGUGAGAGAAUACGAACGGGAGUUCUCUCGUAUUGUGAAUUGUGUCCCGAAUGUGGUACGGGAUGACAAAGAUAUGGCCAAUUGGUUCCAGCGUGGACUUCGACUAGAGAUUUACAGGAGGGUGCAAAUCUUCAAACUCGCAACCUUCGCGGAGGUGUUGGAUCGAGCGUUGUUGGCAGAGCACGGCGAAGCUUUCGUGCGUGAGAAGCACGAGUCUUCUGAGCAUGAGUGGGGAGGGGUGAGGCCACUGUCGAGCGGUUCGGGUGGACAAUCAAGCUCUAGGUGCCACUUGAAAUCAUCCUCUACCCGGUCCUCCUCAGGAUGCGUGAUUUGUGGUGGUUCCCACUAGUAAAUUUGGAACGAAUCGAUGUCAACGUUCACAAGAACCAAAACCGGAACAACAUUAGACUACUCAGUUGCGCCCUGACAGUAUAAAUUUGCAGCGAGUACUUUUUCUCAUUCUAUCGAACAAAGAGUAAAUGCUAAUUAUAUCGUUCUAUUAUGCCCCGAGAGUGUAAAUUGGAACGAAUCGAUGUCAACGUUAACAAGAACCAAAACCGAAACAACAUUAGACUACUCAGUUGCACCCUAAUAGUAUAAAUUUGCAGCAAGUACUUUUUCUCAUUCUAUCGAACAAAGAGUAAAUGCUAAUUAUAUUGUUCUAUUAUGCCUCGAGAGUGUAAAUUUGGAACGAAUCGAUGUCAACGUUCACAAGAACCAAAAUCGGAACAGCAUUAGACUACUCAGUUGUGCCCCAACAGUAUAAAUUGGCAACGAGUACUCUUUCUCAUUCUAUCGAACAAAGAGUAAAAGCUAAUUAUAUUGUUCUAUUAUGCCCUGAGAGUGUAAAUUUGGAAUGAAUCGAUGUCAAUGUUGUAAGGAAGUGAAUUCUCGAAAUCCGAGAGUUCGACUUCAUCCAGGAUCGACUAAUUGUCGAAUGAGCACCCUUCAGGAAGGCUAAAGAUAUCCAAAACACAAAAAGUGCAUUGGAGUUGAGUCCGCGAGAGCAUAUAGUGCAAAACCUGCACUGGGCUGAACUUGCUCUCGGGGACCGGUCCCUGGCAGGGAGAGACCGGUCCCCGAUUGCUGGGGAUCUUUGAUGCAACCGGUCCCAGGCUGAGGGGACCGGUCCUCGUGUGCGACGCCAGCGAGAAAAGCCAAAAUUUCGCUAAGUCCCGAAAAUUCAGCUCUCGGGAACCGGUCUCUCAAAUAGGAACCGGUCUCCCGAGGACCAGUCUCUCAGGGAGAGACCGGUUCCCGAACGCGUGAUAUCUAGGGAGGCUCUCAGGGACCGGUCCCAGGUCGGGGAGACCGGUCCCUCUAGGUGAAAACUGCCCAGUAAAGGCAGUGCACAGGAUGGAAAGUGGAGAGGUUUUUAUGCAAAAUGGCAUUAAUUAGAUAGUAUAGAGAGAGAGCUCUCUCCCUCUCUCAUUUUCACCCUCCCUCACACUCCCUCUUUAACUCAUUUCUCUUUCUCUCUCUAGAAGGAAAAGAAGGAGAAGGAAAAAGAGGAGAAGAAGAGAAAGAAGAAGAAAAAGAAAAGGAAGGAGAAGAAGAAGGAGAUCAAAUAGGAGCUUUGGACAUCUCCCUCUCCCUCUCCUCUUCUCUUUGGAGCUAGCACAAGAGGUAAGCCCUAACCCUAGCUUUUGGAAACUUAGGGUUUUGGGUUUUGAGUUUUGGAGAGGAGGUCAAAUGGACCUCUUACACCAUUGUUGGUGGAUUAGAGCUAGAGCUAGUAGGGUUCCAAAAUGCAAAUGGCAAGAUGUGAACCCUAGGGCUCCAAAAUGGGGUUUUUGGUAAAGUAUGAGAGUGAUCUCAUUUGAGGCCUUGUAAACCUAAUUGUUAGGUGUCUAAACGCAGGGGCGAAGUCGGAAUUUCGAUUCGUCGAGCGGGAGAAAAGCUAUCGGCAAAAUACGGCCGAUUGAGCAUUGUUUUGGACCAAGGAAGCUGAGACCUCGUCGUAACGUUCGGCGAGAGGCAUUUCUAGAACCUCUACAACGAGAAAAGGUGGGGGGUGCCAUCCCGAAGCCAUCAAACUCCUUUCUAUGUCUUAGAAUUUUAUAUGAUUACAUCUUUUGCAUGUUGCAUUGUAGGAUUGCGUAGUAGUGCCAUUCCUUAUGCUUUCUAAUUGAUAACCUAGUGUACAUGGAACGCUUGGUGACUUAGGUAGGUGAGGAUUGGGUCGAAACAUGGAUCCUAUAGUGCUAGAGAAAAGAGAUGAACACGACGGGUGUUUGGUGACAUAAAAAGUAGGGAAAACUUCAAAAACCCCCCCUGUGGUUUCGUGCUUUCUCACUUUAGUACCCUGUGGUUUAAAACGUAUCAAUUUGCCCCCUUGUGGUUUCGUUUUUCUCUUUUUGUUAUCAAUUUUAUUAUUAUUUUUUUCUUAAAUCAGUGACAAAGUUAAAAUUAAAGGAUACUAAAGUGAAUAUUCGAUAAAUAUAGAUGGUUAUCUGAAGUUUUUUGUAUAUAAUUUAACGAAAUGUUAACGAAAAAGCUUCCGAAAAGAUAAAAAUGAAACCACAGGGGGGCAAAUUGAUACGUUUUAAACCACAGGGUAGUAAAGUGAGAAUGCAUGAAACCACAGGGGGGGUUUUUGAAGUUUUCCCUAAAAAGUAACAUCUAAUGUCUAAAGAACAAACAGGUGGCAUCUAAUGUUUAAAGAACAAACGAGUAGUAUUAAUGUAGUGUACUUGACACUAGAGGUUCUUUAUGAACUCAGGGAUAGAUGGACUCCCUAGUAAAUGACUCGUGAACAUCGAACUUAGUAAAGCUAAGUAGCUAUGCAUGAUGGUCGGAAUAGACAAGUUCCGCGAGAUGUUGACCCUAGCUCUUAGGGUGUCCUCACUUGGAGAGAAUAGAUCUAGCUCACAGUCUGUUAUUCGGGGUGGUAUAGCCAUCCAUAUCCUCACAUGGAGAGGAUUGUCGUCGAGUACUCCGGAGUGUCGGGCGAUUAAGACCACCCGCAGACAGUCCCGGGUCUGGGGGCACAUGGAGCUCCCCACCCAAUGGGAUGGGAAAAGGUGAGGUAAGGGCGAACCCAAGGGUUUCGCCACAGAUUGGGUAAAUGGACAGUUAACAAUGUCAUUGAACAUUAUUAUUCGAACGUGGAUCGAACUUGUUAGCAUGGUAAUAAACCUUUACUAUAUGAUGCAUGCAUCCAUUAUACAUGAUUAUGGGCAUAGUAGCAUAGUUUUCCUUUAUGCCUUUACAGCUUUUAGAUAUUUAUCUAUCUAUCUGUCUACGUGUUGUUACUUGUGCCCACUUGGACCUAGUGGGGAGACCGGCGGGGUCGGCGGUCGAGCCCACUGGGAACUAUGGAAGAUAGUUCUCACCCCACUCUAUUUCCAGUGGUAGGUACAGGUCUACCGAGCGAGGACCGCGGCAAGGGCAUCGCGCCCGAUCAGUGAGACCUAGGUAGUAUAGUAGCUUUUCUUUUUGCAUUAGCACACCUAUGUAUUGAGUGAGAUUCAUGUAGAUGAGGUUGGAGAGCUAUAUAUUUUGAUGAACAAAUGUAUUCAUUUUGGGGAAAAGAUGUACAUGUAAAAAGAUGCAAAACUAUCGUAAUAGUUAGUAAAGUAAUCUCUCUUUAUUUCACUUGUUUUUACUUGUGAAUUACUUGCUCUUAGUUGUUGGCACUGUUUGUGCCCCGUCGAAUGUGUAUGUUUAGAAUCUGAAUUUCUGGGUAAAUUCUUGUACACAUUCCUGUUGUUGAGCCUUGGGCGGGCAGGGGAGGUGCUGUCCGUUCGGCGGUCCGCCCGGCGCGCCCAUAUCGUGCCAAAUUGGUAGUGGUUUCGGGGCGGGGGCGUGACAGUGGUUGGUAUCAGAGCAAUAAGAGAAAGUAAAGAGAGAAAGUCUAAGAUGACCUAGGAGACCCUAGGUUGGUGAGCCCUAAGGUUAUAGGUGCGUGAGCGGAACGUGAACCUGUAACGGUGGCGAAAGUUAAUUCGAUUGGGUCGAAGUUGGUAAUAUGUCUCUAGUUGUGAUUAGAGAUGGAUUCAAGUAGUAUUAGUUCUUGGCUUGAGGUGGUUGUGUCAGCAGCCGACGACAUAAUACCAAGAGUCUAGAACGAGUACACUUGUGUGCUUCCGCCUGAUUUCGUUGUUGAGUCGUUAUGUGUCGUAAAUUCGACGAGGCGAAUGGGUUAAGAUAAUUAACCAAGUAUUUACAUUUCAGGAGCUAAUGGCACCAAGAGGACGCCCGAGCACGAGGUCUACUCCGACACCACUUCCCGAGGUGCCCGAGCAGGCUGAACCGAGCGAGAUGGAUCAGUUGCGGGCGCAAGUGACUGCGUUGACCAAUGUGGUGCAGCGUCAGGAGACUCGAUUCGAGCGGCUCUAGGGUCUUUUGGAGCGGCAGGUUGCAGCGGCGGCUGCGAAGGUGAACGAGGGCGGUGGUCCGCCCGCAUCCUCGACUCAUGUACUCGGAGCGGCAGAGGGUGAGGGUAUAGCGGCGGUUCUGGUGACGGCACGCCCACCGCCAGCGAUCGUACCACAGGCGGCAUCGGGAUCGGCUACACCCGAUGUGACGGCCGAAGAUGUAGAAGGAGAGCGCGCAUUGGUGGCUCUUAUUAAGUUCAAAAAGUUCCAUCCCCCUACCUUUGAGGGUGAGAAGGUGGAGCCGGCGAUGGUCGAGUCUUGAAUCGAUUCGAUGGAGACCCUCUUUGAGGACUUGCGUACCUUGGAGAGGGAUAAGGUGUACCUUGCCACACUGUCACGCCCCGCGACCAACCGCCAAUUUGGACAGGGUCGCGGCGCCGACGACAGACCACCGAACGGACCGGGGUUUCCCCUGUACGCGGACAGAGUCUUCCCUGUACGUUCAAGGCGUCGCAAUCUAAACAAUCAACGAAUGUUCCAAGUAGGAACGGAUAUCAAUCCAAAUUGCAUAAGGAAGUAUCAAAUAUAUAAAACUAAUAGCUAUUACAAGCAUUCACUUAGUACAACUCAGUUACAUUUUACUUCCAAAUUACAAUCUAAUUAUUACAUCAUUUAAUUUACAAUCUUGAUUUCCAUUAUGAGCCUCGUUUCCUAUCCAAAAUCACCACUAGCCAUUUACUAGUACCACUUGGCUCUCUACCUGCUCUAGCAGGCGCUACACUCUCAUCCUGCUAGCAUGCUCGGGUACCUACCGACUCGACCGCUCGGUCCCUACUAUGCAAUGUAAUAAUCGCAGCAACUGACCAAUGAUGAAUGCAUGCUAUGCUUUAACUUGAGAUCAUGCAAAAAUAUGCUUGCUCAAUAGCUCAUACCUGCCACGACGUCGUCAGCACGGCAGGCCCCGCACCUCGGGUCGCUUAUCCAUGGCCACCCGGCGCUCGUCGCGAACCCUCUGGUUGCAUCACUCUCAACGGCCGCUCCCCCGACCAAGCCGCAGGUGGCACACCCGCCGGCUGUCCCAAGGAAGAAUGGGCCGUCGCCAGUGUCAAGGCCCGGUUAUCACCCUGCGGACACUCGUCACGCACAUGGCCCGGCAGCCCACACUUGAAGCAUUUGCCCUCUCGCUGCUCACACUGUUGUGGGAAAUGAGGGCCCCCACAAAUCACACAUCUCACCGAGGACCGAAUGUGAUGCGUCCCCGGAGCUCUAGAUCGAGAGCGCGUCUUCACUGAGGUCUGCUGGGAACUCGACUGACCAUCAUGUCCACUCACUGGGCGUCCUUUCCCUCUUUCCUUGUAAUGCUCAUCGCACUUCUCCCGCAGGAAUGCAUUGCCUUGUUCUAUCCACAAGGCCCGAUCCAGGACUUCAACGAAAGUUUGCAACAUAAGUACCUGCACUGCCAGGUACAAGUCCGGCCGAAGCCCCCGCACGAAGCAGUCAGCCUUGUUCUCGUCAUCCCGCACCACGUUCGGGACACAAUGCACGAUACGGGAAAAUUCCCGCUCGUAUUGCCUAACCGUGCGACUUCCCUGCCGUAGCUUAAGAAACCUCUCCUUAAGUUUUCGCUUCUCACUAUCGGGGAAAUAUGCAGAAAAUAUCAUUCCCCGAAACUCUUCCCAAGUCAUAGGAGGGAGACUAGGUAGUCGAUCUUGCUUGACGCCUUUCCACCACACCUUCGCCGACUGUUUGAGAUAAUGCGCGGCUAGGUUUACCUUGUCUGGCUCCAACGUGUACAGAUCCUCAAAGAGUGUUUCCAUGGAAUCGAUCCACAUCUCAACGACCCACGGAUCUAUAUCUUCUCCAUCGAAGGUAGGCGGAUCAAAUUUCUUGAAAGUCAUGAGGGCGCUAAAGCUCGUUCCCUUUCCGCCGCAACCUCUGGGCUAACAAGGGCCGGGUCACCCGCCCCCAACGGAAACGUCUCCAUUGAAAUUCCCGGCUGUCCUCGACCAGCCGCGACUGGUGCUGCCACCAGUCGAUCCACAGUUUUUUGGAGUCGUUCCAUUCGCUCCUCUUGGCGCAUAGCAGCCUCCUGCUGCAGUUGCACCACCUCCGCUUGUUGCCGCAUCACUCCAAUGAGUGUGGCCAAUUGAUCGCGAAGCUCCGAGUCUCCCCUCGCAUCGGUUUGCUUAAGGGCGCCACUUGUCCCCUCCCGCGCCGAUCUGGACGAAGAUCGCCUACGCGGUGCCAUCGUUUCCUGAAACAGGACAACUCGAUUAGUUCUCGACCGACUCGGGUCGAACACGUGACCAUCAACACGGCUCAAAAGCCAAUCAGGCGAAAGUCGAACAAGGACGUCUAUUCUCGUCUCUCGGCUUUGUGUUGUGCGUGCCCAACAUAAACACACUCGGUCGAGAAUAAACCAUAUCUUAAGUCUACCUCUAAUAUCCGUCUUAGAGGUUACGACACAACCCAAUCCAUUACCUUUCGCCACAAAUCACAAGUCCUCGUCUCUCACGAGCCUUAUUCUCCUAUGGUUUCACUAUCCUAGGGUCUCCUAGGUCAUCUAAACCAUUUUUCCAUUUUCUACUUUAUGCUCUGAUACCACUUUAUCUGUCACGCUCCGCGACCAACCGCCAAUUUGGACAGGGUCGCAGCGCCGACGACAGACCGCCGAACGGACCAGGGUUUCCCCUGUACGCGGACAGAGUCUCCCCUGUACGUUCAAGGCGUCGCAAUCCAAACAAUCAACGAAUGUUCCAAGUAGGAACGGAUAUCAAUCCAGAUUGCAUAAGGAAGUAUCAAAAGUAUCAAAUACAUAAAACUAAUAGCUAUUACAAGCAUUCACUUAGUACAACUCAGUUGUAUUUUACUUCCAAAUUACAAUCUAAUUAUUACAUCAUUUUAUUUACAAGUUUGAUACAUUUUGAUUCUAGCCUUCUAGUCCCCUAAGCUAGACUACCUCAGGGUACUACUACCUCGGUCUCUGUGGUAGGGCGCUAUCUACUGUGCUACGCCCUCGCCUCGCGCCACAGCGCUGCACACGUACAAUCUGAAAACACCCCAAAACCACGUGGGGUGAGAACCAACUCCAUGGUUCCCAGUAGGUACGGCCACCCAAGGGAAAAGCUCGACCGAUAGGUCCGAGGAGGCACUGCAAUAUGUUAGUUCAACAAUAUACAACAGAUAUAUAUAUUCAAUUGAAAUACAUGCCAUGCCUCACGAUAUGCGAUAUGAAAGUCAUGCAACUCUAUGCAACAACUGGUAGAUCAUUAGAUUCUACAUUUACUUGGCUACUCUUAGCUCAUAACUUUACUCUAAGGUUUCUACUACCUUAGGUUCACACUCGAGUCCCCUGGCUCCUAAGGUCUCUAUUACCUUAGCUCAAGCCUCUAUCUCUAGCUCAUAAGGGUUCCUCUACCCUAUCGAAGCUAACCACCUGACUCGGCUUCGAGUCAAUCAUCCGCGGAUAGCCCGCGCACUGGCUGCUCAUCAGCCUACCGCUCUCAGCCCCCUAGCGGCGAAGUUGUCGCACACGCUAGGCCCGGCUCAAGUCGCACGACUUGACCAUCUGGCGGCGAUCGCGUUGCUCUUACCCAGUGUGAGCUCGAGUCCUGACACGCCUCUGGCGGCGAACGGAUCGCACCACACCCAACAACGGUACAUGUCAAACUCAGCCACCUGGAGGCUCCCGCGUCGUACUUACCCAGCAUAGAUUCAGUCUGCUCUGGCGGUCUGAUCCUCAAAUGGCUUAACCAUCCUGGCGGCGAAAUCGUCACACAAACGCCACGGCAAUGGUUCAAGCCCCGGGCGGUGAUCGCAGUCACCCCCAAUCUACCCACAAUACCAAGCUCGGCUGCGAAGUCGUCGCACACACGCCCUAGCUUGUACUAGGGACAUCAAAAGUCCUGGGAUCCCGAAAUCCACUUUCCACAUGUCGAGGGUUCAUAAACCAGCCUAUAUCAUCGACCUAGCUCACCCUAGUGGGUAUACCACUAUACUCAUCAACCUAGGUUCCAAGACUCUAGGUUCUAUGUCCACGUCACUUAACCUAGUUACACUUGCUAGGUUCAUGUCAUCUUUGUCUAGAUGUCCACUUCUAGGUUUAUUAGUUCGACCUAGGUUCACUAACACUAGGUUCGAUGCCACACACCUAGAUUGUUCGACUCUAGGUUUACUAUUCAAUCUAUGUUCUUUAACACUAGGUUAGAUGCCACUCGAUCUACCUGACAACCUAGUUGUCCAAUCAACUCUACUCACACUAGAGUUAUUAACUCAUGCUUUCUACGUGGCAUUCACUCUAUGCAUCUUUGAUCAUCAUGCAUUCUAUUUAGCAUUUCCAUCUAUGCACUACUAUUAGUAUGCAUUCUUUACAUUAGCUAGCAUUAUUUACAUGUCAUGCUCUCAUGCUUGCUACUUACUAUGCGUUCAUUACUUAGCCUUUACUUUAUGCAUUAUCAUUCAUCAUGCAUUUCUUGUCCUUGUCUACAUGCACAUGCAUCAACAUGGAGAUACAUUGCUAAGACAUAAAAGGGCGACCUAGUCGCUUCGGUAAGCACAACCCACCUUAGCUAGCUUUUCCGAUUGCUCGUCGACACUUGCAAUCGGCCUCCCGCGGCACUCGGCACCCGUUUGGGCCCGAUCUCACAGUUGCUUUCCACGAGCACGCCGCUUCGCCGUUUCAAGUGCUAGCGAUCUUCGCCUUGCCGCUACGGUGCUCGGAACCCGAUUUCACGAUUUAUGGACGUCGCCUCGGCCUCCCAAGCGGAAAUGAAGCUCCGAGCGCCCGUUUUUUCAAUAUCUUCGCAACGGCUUGCCGGAUUGCCGAACCGACUUCGCCAACGUGUUUCGUUACCUACCAAUUAGGUUUACGAAGGGUCAAAUGAGAUCAAACUCAUCUAUUUACAAACACCCUAUUUGGAUGCCCUAGAAUGCCAUCACUAGCAAAUCCACCGAAUCGAUCUAGGAUUUGGGUAUAAUCCAUCAAAAUAGCAUGCUAGGGUACCAAACAAACCAUUUCUAGGGUUUAAAAACCCAUCUACAAAAAUCUACCAUGAGAGGGCUUGGAAGCUUACCUCUCAAAGAGCUCCAUGGAGAGAAGAAGAUGAAGAUGAGGAUGAGGAAGAGGAUCUCCUCCUUGGUCCUCUUCUUCUUUUCCUUUCCUUUCUCUUUUUCUUCUUCUCUUCUCUUUUCUCUUUCCUUCUCUUUUUCUUCCUUUCCCCCUUCGCACGAUCAGAGGGAGAGAGAGAGGCUGAGGGAGUGAGAGAGAGAGGAAAAGAUCUCUCUCUAAUACUCUCUCUCAUUUUGUAACAAUAUCCCCAAAGGCCCCUCAACUUUUCGCCUCUUACACAGCCCUCACUGGGCAUUCUGCGCGCUAAGGGACCGGUCUCCCCGACCAGGGACCGGUCCCCGGGGCCUCCCCUCGCGGGCACGCGUUCGGGAACCGGUCCCUCCCUGAGAGACCGGUCCUCUGGAGACCGGUUCCUCUCAGAGAGACCGGUUCCCGAGAGCUGAACUUUCGGGACUUAGCCGAUUUUCGGCUCUUCUCACUGGUGUCGCAGGCUGGGACCGGUCCCUCCUCUGCCAGGGACCGGUUGCAUCAGCAACCCCGCAGCCUUCAGCUGAUGGGACCGGUCUCUCACCUCCAGAGACCGGUCCUCGAGAGCAACCUUAGCCCAAAAAUGCAGAUUGCAUUAUUUGCUAUCGCGGACUCCAUUCCAAUGCACUUCUUGGGUUUCGUGCAUCAUUAGCUUUUCCAAAGCUUAUCCAUUCGACCCUUAGUCGAUUCUAGACAAGGUGCAACCCUCGGAUUUCGAGAGUUCACAUUGUUACACACACACUGUCUGGAGAAAGCGGCAAAGGUAUGGUGGAAGCGCGUGAAGCGAGAUCGGCCUUCCGAUCUCCUGCCGAUGUUGUGGGAGGAAUUCAAGCGGGAGAUGUUCGCCAACUACUUCCCCGAUAUGCUGAAGCGGAAGCUCAAGGAGAAGUUCCGCAAGUUAGAGCAAGGGGACCGCUCAGUGCCGGAGUAUGAACAAGAGUUCUCCCACAUCAUUGAUUGUGUCCCGGACGUAGUGAAGGAUGAUCGGGACCGGGCCGAUUGGUUCUUGCGAGGACUUCGGCCGGGGAUUUAUAAGGCCGUGCAGAUACUCAAGCUCACGACCUUUGCGGAGGUCUUCGACCGAGCACUCUGGGCGGAGCACGGAGACGCCCAUUGUAAGGAAGUGAAUUCUCGAAACUCGAGGAUUAGACUUCGGCCAGAAUCGACUGUUCGUCGAGUGUGUACGCUUCGGGAAGUCCGAAGGCGAUUAUAAUGCAUAAAGUGCAUUAAAGAAGGGUCCACGGGAGCACCAGUGCAAAAUCUGCACUGGAGCAGAAAUGCUCUCGGGGACCGGUCCCUGGUAGGGAGGGACCGGUCCCAUCAGGCUGGGUUGCGGAGGUCUCUGAUGAGACCGGUCCCUGAUGGGCAGGGACCGGUUCCCGAACGUUGGCCUGGCGAGACUUAGCCAAAUUUGUCUAAGUCCCGAGAAUGCAGCUCUCGGGAACCGGUCUCUCGGACAAGGACGACCGGUCUCUCAGGCAAGGACUGGUUCCCGAACACGAAAAUCCCUCUGCUCGAAAUGGCAGCCUUCGGGGACCGGUCAUCCCGAGCUGGGACCGGUCCCUCACUGCGAAAAUGCCGAGGGAGGGCUGAUCAUAAAGGUAAAAAGUUGAGGGGGCUAUUUGCAAAAUAGCCUUUAUUAGAGGUGGGGGACCCCUCUCUCUCCCUCUCAGCUGCCCUUUCUCUCUCUCUUUCACAUUCUUUCCCUCUCUCUCUCUCUCUAGGAAAGAAGAAGAAGAAGAAGAAGGAAAAGAAAAGAAAGAGAAGAAGAAGAAGAAGAAGUAGAAGGAGAAGUCAGAGAAGAAGAAGAAGAAGAAGGUCUUCUUCCCUCUCUCCUUCCACCUAGGGCAAGCUUGGAGCUUGGCUUAGAGGUAAGCUCCCAACCCAUCAAUGGUAGAUUUCUUGGGUUAGGGUUUUAUUGCUUAGAAUUGGUUCAAAUGGAACCUAUUAGGGAUAAAUAGAAGGUCCGAGCUCGAAAUCGAAGCUCGCACCGCGGAUUUCUCCGUUGUUGAGACCUAGGGCUUAGAAUUGGGAUUUUGGCAAAUCUAGGGUUUUGAUCUAAUUAGUUGGGUCGCUAACCUAAUUGCUAGGUCUAUGAACGCGUCGGCGAAGACGGUUUGCCGAUCCGACGAGCGGGUGCGGAGAAAUCGCCGAAUCGGGUACUCGAGGGCUUGCUUCGCCCCGAGGAGUUGAAGCGGCGUGCAACGACCGCAGCGUCAACUUUUCUACCAUCGCGACAUCGCCAAGAGGUGGGUGGUGUCCAUCCCGAAGCAAUCGGGCUCCCUCCUAUGUCUUAGUAUAUUUGAUCUUGCAUCUUGUAUUAUUGCAUUAUAGGAUUAGUAUGCAUUGCCUUUCCUUAUGUUUUUCCUUCAUGGUAUCGUAGCGUACAUCGGAUAAUUGAUAUAUUGGAUUGAUAAGGAUUGGGUCGAGAUUGUGAAUCCUAUGAUGUAGAGAAAAUGAUGAACUAUGAACGAGUGGCAUCUAGUUAAUAGUAAACUAUGAACGAGUGGCAUCUAGUCGAUAGCGGACAAACGGACAAUCUAGUUAAUAGUGUAUGUGACACCUAUGGACUAUAUGAUGAUUGUGACUCUAGAGGACAGGGUAUCCUCGAGCUUAGAGGAUUGGAUCAUGCUCACGGUCUGUUAAAUCUUGUGAUGGAAGCCCCACACAAGUAGUGCGCUCCGGAUGUUGGUCACGCCAGGGAUUGCCUAUAUGGCCCCGCCAGACGGUCUCGGGUCCGUAGUGUGAGUUGAUUCUCCCUACGUGUCGAGAUGGCUAGUGAGCUGUAGGCGAGCCUUCGGGUAAGCCAUGAGAUUAAUGAACAAGUAAAUGAGGUUAAUGAACGAGUGAAUAGCUUCACCCUUGGACAUGAUAACAGGUUAGUUGUUUACCUAUUUCUUGUACAUGCAUUCAUAUAUUAUGAUUGGGCAUAGUAGCAUAGCUUCAUUUCCGUCAUUUACAGCUUUUCUUGUUAUCUAUCUAUUGGUAUAUCUACUUGUGCCCGCUUGGACCUAGUGGGGAGAUCGGCGGAGUCGGCGGCCGAACCCACUGGGAACUAAGGAAGUUAGUUCUCACCCCCAUUUUACCACAGGUUCUAGUUCGGGUGUCCCCGGUGAGCGUGAGGAUCGCGGUAAGGGCCCGGCGUUUUAGUCGCAUUAGCUACCUCCUUUUGUAUUAGCCAUCACCCUUUUCUUUUAUAUUUGAGAGUAGAUGAUGUAUAGGGUGAGGUUCGAGUGAUUGUACUUAUAUUUUGGAAGAAUGUAAAAGAUGUAAUUGAAUGUAUAUUAUGUCGAAUGAAUGUAAUAGAUAGCUCUUCUCUCUCUUUAUGUACUUGUAUAUGUUUUAUACUUGUAUCUUGCUCUCGUCUUGUAGCACUGGUGGUGCUUCUUGAUCGUGUAUUUAUGAAUUGAUUCCUGGGUAAAUUCUUAUGCAAGAUAUAUUCUUACUCAGUACGUUAAACUGAGCCUGUCUGUCAAAUAUGAGCUCAAACGGACAUUCAGAAGGGCUCCAACUGUUCCGAACUGCUAAAACUGUCUGGAGUGAAUAGUGUUAAGGGGCUAUAAGUGUAUAAGAAGCUGAUGCUUCUUUUUCCUCUCCUUCAGCCCGAGCACACACCACACACGCACACGACACACAUACACACGCGUGGAAAGGAAAAGAGAAAACCCCCCCUUUCUCUCUCUAAAUCUCUCCCAAAAAGAGAGGGUUUUGGUGGAGAUUGAAGCUCAAAGGUGGAUUUUCAUCCCCAUUGGCUUCUUCCUCUCCAUUGGAGCAAGCUUUGAAGGUAAGCUUUGAUGCCCUUUAAUGGUAUCUCUUUGUAGUUUGGGUUUUAAGCUUCAAGAAUGGAUUUAGAGCUAAUUUAGCAUGCUAAAGAGAUGAUUGUUGCUUAAAUCAUGGAUCGAUUUAAUAAUUUCUUGUCUAGUUGUAAACUAGGGCUUGAAAUGAGCUUUUUGAACCCUCUCAUGGUAGAUCUUUAAAGCUUCAUUUAUAAUCCAUAGAAAUGGUUUAUUUGGGAUCCUAGCAUGCUAAAUAAAGGAUAAAUGCUAGAAUCUAGGAUCAAUUUAAUUAAUUCUUGCAAUAGAUGAAGCCUAGGGUUCAAAAUGCAAUUUUUGGAAAUAUGAUGGUUUGAUCUAAAUUGACCUCUCUCUAACCUAAUUGCUAGGUAAACGAACGCGUUGGCGAAGUCGGUUCGGCGAUUCGUCGAGCCGUUACAAAGUUAUUAAAGAAACGGAUGUUUAGGCUUCGGGUCCGCCGGGAGGGCCAAGACAACGUCAUAAAAUCGUGGAAAUGGAUUUGGAGCACCGUGGCACAUAACCGAAGACCUUUAAUUUUCGAAUCGUGGAUCAGAGGCCGUUCGGGUGGUCGCGCGAAAGAUUGUGCCAAACCAGGUGCCGGGUGCCGCGGGAGGCCGAUUGCAAGUGUCGACAAGCAAUCGGAACGCGAAUCGAGGUGGGUUGUGCUUACCGAAGCGACUAGGUCGCCUUUAUGUCUAAGCGAAUUAAGAAUUCUUGUUGAUGCAUAUAGCUAAUGCUAAGUGAUGUAAUGUAGAAGUGCUAACUAGAAUGUAUAAUGAGCAAGUUAAAUAAUGCAUGUAAUAGUAUGAUGCAAAUGCUAAGUAGAUGCAUAUAAAUGAUAUGUGAGAUUAUAAAUGCAUGAUUAGCAUUGUGAGAUUAUAAAUGCAUGCUUAGCAUUGUGAGAUUAUAUAUGCAUAUGAACUUGGUUGAUAACUCUAAGUUGAUUAGAGAAAUAAAAUUGGAAAAGAGAAAUUGAUAACUCUAGAAUGCUUAAUUGGACAAUUAGCAUGUGAACUAAUCGAGUGGCAUCUAAUUUAGUGUUAAAGAACAUAGGUCGUGAGUAGAUGUAGCACACUAGACCUUUGCAAAUUGCGAGGUUCGAGUGUUCGAUUUGUAUUCUGAACUUUUCCACACUUGGUGGAGGGCCGUCGAUGGUAUACUGGCCUAAAAGUUCGAUCUCGAGAAUAUUGGCAGAGUCCUGAGAGUUUUUACUCUCGGGGACCGGUCCCUGAUAGGAGAGACCGGUCCCCCAGUGAACAGUGCUGCGCAGCCGGCGAGGCAACCGGUCCCUGGCAGUCGAGACCGGUCCCCGAGCGCGUCUGCGCGGGGAGAGACCGGUCCCGCGCAGGGAGAGACCGGUUCCCGAACGUUGGAUCUUUUGGAGAGAUCAAACCUAACCCCUACUUGGGGUUUUUUGAGCUUGCGUUUGCGGGCUUCUCUGAGCGUUGGUUAGCUUGUAAUCCCCAUUUGUUACUUGUUUUCUAAGGUUUUAGAUGAAACCUAGGAUUUUGGGAGUUUGAGGGUUUAUUUUGGGUUUUGGAUUGAGGCGUUAUGAGACCUAAUUGAUGGUGUUUGACUUUUAUUAGCGGUGAUUGGAAGACUCUACCUUCCAUUUUUGAGGAUUUAGAGAGGGUUUCCAGCUUGAGUGAGUUUUACUCAAACUCUAACUUGAGGAGCUUGAAUAUUUGAGCUAUUCGCUCUUCGUUCUUUUGGGCUGACCCUAUUUGAUCUAUCUAGGUAUAGGGAGCUUGUGGCAUUAUCUUCUUUCGCGCGAAACGAGGAGUCGAUUAUUCGGUGGGUUUGACUAUCAUGAAAAUGGGGCAAAAUGGCCCUAUGCCUUCUAAACUUUUUGUAAAGUAUUUUCGAAUGCAAAUCAUGUAACAUGAUUUAUAUGAAUUUUAGAAACACCUAACUUGCAUGCUUUCAUUGUAUCAGUAAAAAUUGUACCCCGUAUAGUAGAGCUAUAUGUGUAGGGGAAAUUGCCAUGCGUUGUGGUAGUGCUGUUUGGCAAGUUGAGAACGUGGACUCCAGCAAGAAUGAUAGUGAACUAUGCCAUCAAUGAAACAUGUUAAUGCAUGCUUGGGACUCGUGUUGAACAAAAGGGUCAUAAAGAGCACUGGAAUUAGGUAAUAUAAAAUUGCACAACUUAGAGAAUGAUGAUAGGCAUUGUAUAUGUGCCUAUAUUCCAUGGGGGGGUUAGAGACAGUGAUGACAUAGGAUAGCGUUGAGAACGUUGACAGCAUUCCGGGUUAUUUAACAGCGAGGACUUGGUACAUGCGACAGAUUGUUUGACUACUGCACUCUCUCGCUCUCUCGCACAUGAUUUGGGGAUCGAUCCCUACCAAGCCGGCAAUCCGGCAGAUGGCCAUCGCGAUACAUAUUCGGCCGUGCCGGGAUUGGCCCGCAAGUGGCAUGGCCGUGGGCCUCAGGCGUCAUUCCGAGGGUUGGGGGAUGUUGACUACCAGGAGCCAUUAGCUCGCGCACCGGCCAGAAGCUACGGGGGGUCUCAGGGCCAUAGAGCACUUCGGGUGGGUCUCUCCAUAUGACUUUAUAUACCCAUUAUGACAUGUGGACAGAUGGGACUUAGUGUGACACUUGGACAUUUGACUAAAAUAGAAACAAGGACGUUACUAUUCUCAACUUUGCGAACAUUCAUAAUAGUUGGAGAUUUAUUCAUGAUAGUUUUUCAUAGCUCAUUGCAUUAUUUAUGCUAAGUGAAAGAUAUCAGUUGUAAAGCUACAUUUACUGACCUAUUCAGCUUUUUCUAAUUUAUAGUCACUAACUCUUUUGUAGCUUUGGGCUGAUACUUAUCUUUUCACUCAUCGUCGUAUUUUGCUUGCUGAGGAUCCCCAUUAUCAUCGUGCAUUCCUGAAUAGUAAUUGUUUCACUGGGAACUAUUUUAUUUAGUUCUCACGCUCCCUGUUUUAUGGUUUACCUUUCAGAGGCUCGGCACCGGACGGAGGCCGGAUCCGCAAGGGGCAUCGGUAGCUUAUAGCGGGAGCGGGUACUUGCCUAUGCUUGUUUAUCUUCUUUUGUAGUUGAGAGAGUGAGGUUUUGUAUCCUGUAUAGAGACACUGGGUAUCACCUAUAGAGUUUGUAUUUGAUUUCCUAUGUGUAUUUACUUAUGUCUUAUUAGAUGGAUAUUACAGUUUAAUCCUCAUCUUGGUUGUAGAUUUAGACAUUGAUUAAGCUCUGAUUAUCCUAGAUGUCAUUCGUUAUAUUAUUGCUUGAUUAUUGUUGUUUUCAGACGCUUUUGUUGGUAGACAUGGCGGGUAUGGCACGCGCCGGCGGGCUCUCGCUGAUGGUCCCGGGGCGUACAUUAUCAAAGAUCUGUGAGGAUUCCAGAUCCACUUCACAGGUCGAGGGUCCAUACAACCUAUGUUGUCGACCUAAAAUAUUCCUAGUGGUUGCUCUACACUUAACUCAAACAACCUAGGUUCAGAGCACUCUAGGUUAACGUAUAUCCACAACGAGUUAUAAAUCUAGGUUAUACGAUAUGUCACAAACCUAAGGUUAUAACUCCUAGGUUCACUAUAUCACAAACCUAGGUUAUUAAAUCUAGUUUCUAUCCAUCAAAUGUCCGACCUAUUUUAUUAACACUAGGUAAGAUGCCACUACUAUCAUUUGAUUCUAGUCUUUGUCACGCCCCGGACCUUAGCGAGAGCCGCCCGGGUCCCAGACUCGCCAUACGUCUAAAACAUUAUAAGGCCGUCUAAAAAACAAUAUAAAAGUAAUAGAUAAAAGCAAACUAGAAGUGAUCAGAGCCAUUUGAUAUAAUGUCUAAAUGCUACAAGCAAGGGAUAAGGAAAAACUGCUAAAUCCACUAAAUAAGACAUAAAGUGAUAGCAAAAUUCCCAGAUACAAGUGCUACAUAGUAGAUUACAUAGGUGGUCUUACACGCAGGAUUACAAAGCCUUCACUCUCUCAACUGACAAAAGAAAGGUAAACCCUAUGCAAAGUUACCGUCCUCGCUAGCUACUAAGCGAUCCCUUGCCGCGAUGCCUGCCUCCGCAGUGCGAAAGGUUGAAAAGUAAACCAUAAAACGGGCGUGAGAACUAUUACAAAUAGUUCCCAGAUGCGGCAAUGUUACUGACUUCAGUGAGCACACGAGGCCCAAAGCUACAAGAUGGUCAAUGACAAUAAAGUAGAAGGAAAGGUAAGUAAAAAAUGUAACUUUACUACAGACAUGAUAUCUCUACUAGCAUAAUUAGCAUAAGUAUGAACAACUAUCCAUGAGUAAAGUCUCCAACUUAUCAAUGUCCAAUCAUACAAUAGUAAGUUCGUUGUUUACUAUUCUAUCAAUGUCCAAGUAAUUACUCUAAAUCAAUAUCUGUCCACAUGUCAUAAUGAAUACUCAAGUUCAAAAUACUGACAGAGACCCACGCGAAGGCUGUUCUAUGGCCCUGCAGACCCAACCCCUCUUAGGCUAUGCUGGCCGUGCCGAGCCAAUAAUGGCCCGGGUGGUAGUCAUAUCCGCCACCCUUAGGAAUGAGGCCUGGCCACGGCAAUCCCUUCGGCGCUCAAUCGCGCGACGAGCGAUUAUGAAUCGCACGAUGGCUAUUCCGAAAGUGUCGGCUCUGUAGGAGACGACGCGUCACGAAGCAUGUGGAUGAAUGAGCAUAAUGGCAAGUAGUCAAACGAUCUGUCACAAGUACAAUCCUCAUGGUCUAUAAAUGGACAUAUGUACCAAUUCUCAUAGGCCAUCCUUAUGUCAUUAUGCUCUAAUGGAAUAUAGCAAAUGUGUAGUGGCUUCAAAUGAUCUCUACUUGCAGUUUUCAUAGUUACAGUUUCAAGCGGCACCCUGGUAUGACACUCUUGUUCUCUAUGUCAAAAGCAUGGCACUAUGUUCCAAUACAUAUUUCAGGUCAUAAUCCUCAAUAAGAGAUGUAUCUUUCAACUGCAAAAGUAAUACACCUUUUCUGUAUGCAUGCAUUCUAUCAUAUAGCGUCUACUAUAUAGUGAAAUUUUAUAAUCACCAAGCGUAUGCAUUUUAAUGUGCUCUAAAAUUCAUAUAUUCCAUUUAGCAUAGAAAUGAAUUUAAAAAUAUUUUACAACAAGGUAGAAAGAGCAUAGGGCGCCAUUUCGCCCAUUUCCGACGAAGCGAAAUCCGCGUCGAAUAAGAAGCUUUGUCGUUUGCCACGACGAAAGGCGAUCCACCGCCUCCUAUACCCUAAAGGUAUGGAAAACAGUGUCAUUAGUCGAACGGAAACGAGCGAUAAGCUCAAUCAUUAAGCUCUCAAGCUAUAGGACGUUGGAAAACUCACUCAAGUGAAACCCUUCACUUAACUCAAAUGGGGAGGUAGAGGUUUACAAUCUAAACCUAUAUCAAAGGUUCCAGCGAUUCAAAUUGAGGAUCAAGAAGCCUCAAAAAUCAAGAAUCCCCAAAUUUAAGCCAAAAUCCAAAACUCUAGGGUUUAGACAGCAAAAAAGCCAAAAUUAAGAUCUAGGAGAAGGAACCUUGCACUGUACUCUAGGAUGCUCCAAUCCAAGCCUCAAAAUUUCUAGGGUUAAAAUUGAUCCACAAACUCCAAAGCAAGCUCCAAUCACUCCAAAGGCUGAGAAAUGAGGAAGAAGAUGCGUGCUUCCAAGGCCUCCAAGAAGCCUUCUCCUCUUCUUCUCCUUCUUCUCUUCCUUCUCUCUCUAGAAGUGUAGGAGAGUGUCGGGUAGAGAAAAUGAAGUGAGAGGGGAGGAGAGGCGCCACUAUAGCUCUAAGGUAACAAAAUCACUUAGGCCCUAAAAAUCCAUCUGCUUGACUACCGGUCGGGCAGUUUUCGCCCAGAGGGACCGGCUGUCCCCGACCUCGGGACCAGUCUCUCAAGCCUGCCCCGAAGAUCAACCGUUCUGGCGAACGAGUCUUCCUGCGCGGGGACCGUCUGCUCCCAGCUGCAGACGGGUCGGCGACCCGUAAUCCGACUGCCAGGACCGGUUGCCUCGCGGCUGCGCAGCAGCUGUUACUGCGAGGGACGGACUCGCUAAUCAGAGGCCGGUCCACCCGCAGAGUAGAAAACUCUCAGGACUUGCCAAGAAUUCUCGAGAUCGAACAAUUUCUAGGCCAAGUAUACAUCGACGGCCAUCACCAAGUGUGAAAAGUUCGGAAUACAAAAUCGAAACACUUGAACUCGCAAUUGCAAAGUCCAUGUGUGCUAACAUUCACCCCUCCGAAAAAGGAAUUUCGUCGCGAAACUCGAAACAAAAGCAUUACCUCAAGGCUCCAUCUGAAAGAUGCAGAUAGCGCUCCUGAUGGACGCACUCUCUAGUCCAAUUGGCUCGCGCUCUGCUGUGGUAUGCCUCAAGAACCUUCACAUCAGAAUAUCACGAUUCCGAGCUUUUUCACCUCGCGAGCAAAAUUCUUCACGGGUUGCUCCUCGUAAGCUCAGAUUCCUCGCGAGCCUCACUGGUAUAGUUCCCAAUUAAUGAGCUGAUCAUGAAUGCCUCAUCCGAAGGGAGAUACUGAAAGACGUUGCUGCACCGGAAUAGUUCCGGUGGAGGCGCGGGCGAAAAAAAGCAAUCGAUAGCUACCGGACCUACACGCUCAAGAUCUUAUUACGGCUCCAAUGAACGGCGGGCUCAAAUUUCCCAGAACCCCGAAUCUCUUAUGAUCCUUAGUCGGCGAGACUUCAGAAACCAUGCGUCUCAAACUGAACUCCACUCUCGCCGUAGUCGAUCGGCGUAGUUCUCUGUCUACUCUGCGCCGUCAAAGUCGCUCACGAGCAUUACGAACCGUUGUCCUUAGGCUUCUGGGCUAAUGGGGGCCUAAAGCCAAACUCUCGAAACUUCGCUCCAAUGAAGCGGCCGUCUACACGUGUCCGCAGUAAAGCUGCUUCGGAAGGGCCGCCUUCUUGAUGCUUUGCUUGAUAACUGUUGUUGUCAGCAAACUCGCCAUAGGUUAGAUGACUGCGACCAUCCUCCCUGGAAGUCUAUCACGCAUGCUCGAGCAUAUCUCUAAGGUCUGUAAUAGGCGUGCGACGUGUCUACACUCUGCGGAGUGGAAAUGCUGUAAUGAAUCCAAUCGAGUGCUAAGGUCCUGUAGACUCCAAUCCAGAAGGUGAGACACGAAGCGCGGUUCGCGGAUCAGAUACAAUCGAUGUAGCACUCCAUGACGUCGCCAAUCUCAUCAAUGUAACUGUCGAGCUUUCUCUCGGUCCAAGUCGUAAGAAAUUAGGUAUGAAGUGCGCCCGACUUCGGUCAAACCUAUCACGAUCACCCAAAUAGGCGUCAUGCCCUCGCCUGUAGACGCGGCAAUUCCUGUCACAAAGUCUAUGGUGUCUUCUCCAUUCUUCAACACAGGAAUAAGUGCACUCUGAAGUUUUCGACUUUUUGAUUCUUCGUGCUCGCUUUUACUUGUUGCCAAUGUUUAGACAACGAGGCUACAAAGUCGCCAAUGUCUUUUUGAUUUUUAGAGCGAACUUUAUUUUGUACUCUCGGUGGACCUCACGAUGUUAUAGAUACAGCGCUCGGUUUGAAGAAUAUCCUCUUUAAUCCCAAGGCCGGCGGGUAUACAUAAUGUUUUCGCCACAGAAGGUUAUCAAUCCUUUGUCAAAAGAAUCGCCGCGUGCCCAUCAACAUUUUACCUCGAAUCUUUUGCAUCUUUUUUUUACUUUUCAUUAAUUCUAUCAAAGAGUUUUUUGAACACUACCAAGUGUCAUCAUCGUCUUUUUGGUCAGGAGUCACACCCUCCAACUCCUUUUAUUUUAUCAACUGCAGUUUGAGUCACAACUUUAUUUUUUUUUUUACUUAGCGCAUCUGCCACCACUUUAGCAGUGCCUGGCGUGGUAAAUUUUUAUUUUUAGCAGCUCCAACUUGUUUUGUGCGUCGUUCAACUCUUUAGUAAACAGGAUUAGGCUCUGUAUGUUGUUUACCGUCGCCAUAAAGAUAGUGCGGCCAUAGCUUCAAUGCAAACACUACGGCCCCAACUCCAAAUCAUGCCGUCGGGGCUAGUUUUCUAAUAUUCUUUAAUUGGCGAGAAGUAUACACGAUACUUGCAUCCUGCAUCAAUACACAGCCAGAUCCAUUAAGUAAGAUCACUAUAAAACCAUCAAUACCUACUCCAGCUACUGUCAGGGUCAAGUAUCGGGGCGGUCAGUCAAUCUCUGCUUCAACUCUUGGAAGCUUCGUCGGCACGCAUCAUUUCCAAAUGAAUUGAAGCUCUUUAUGCGUGAGCCUUCGUGAGGGGAGUAGACAGUUAGAAAAUCCCUCGAAAUCUCCGGUAGGUAACCCGGCCAAUCAAGACGAAAACUCCGUUUAUCUCCGAUGACGCUCGUCUGGUCUCGGCCAAUCCUGAUUGACUUCAAUCUUCUAUAGGACCACGCUAAUAUUUAUAUUUUUUUUGGUUUUUCUGUUUUUUUUUUUUUUUUUUUCCCCCUCUUUUAAUUAACCCGAUCCGAAAUCAAGUGUCAAGUGAAAGCACUCUCGAAGCCAAGAUUAGCGCAUUUCUUCAAAUUGCAUAAGCCUCUAUUUCCCGAUGUACUUGGAGUAUAAUCUAAAUGCUCCUCCAGCAUCUGCAUCACUUCGAGAAUAAACAAAUGUCGUUCGCAAUGAACACCACGGACGAACCUAUCAGGUAAGACUUUUAAAGACCGGCUUCAUCAGUAUCUAAAGCUGCCAGAGGAUUAGUAGCCCAACGGCAUAACUGUUGAACUCGAUGUCCAUACGUUUCUAAAAGCGUCUUUGAAACGUCUCGGUUGAUCUUCAACUGGUGGCUAUUCCAACUGCAAGUGAUCUUGGAAUAACAUAUAUGAUCCUGAAGCCGAUCAAACAAGAUCGUCGAUCAUCGGCAAGGAUACUUUUUCUUGAUCUUGACCUAUAUUUAAGUUCACGAUAAACCACGCAAAGGCGAAGUGAUCACGUCCUUUUUAUUUGACGAACAAACGGGGUGUCCCUAGGUGAAACGCUCAGGUCGAAUGAAGUCUUUUCCAACAAAUGUUGCAGCUGUGCCCUCAGCUCCCUUAGCUUGGCCGGUGCCAUCUAAUAGGUGCCUUGAGAUGGGGUAGUCCAGGAGAGAUCUACCACAAGUCAAUCUCGCUAUCAGGAUGGAUACCCAGGUAGCUCAGCCUGGAAACACAUCUCGUGGAACUCUCGCAUACCGGGAUAUCAUCGAUCUGGGGUGUCAUACUACGCUCUCAACGACACUAGCCAAAUAGUCUAUACAGCCUCUCGGCUGAUAAGCGUGCCUAAGCUCGAGCACGAGCUGAAUCGUCAUCGCAAACAGCAACUCGACUCACUAAUACACCUAGUCUGCCCCGGUUCUCUAAAGUAACCGUGCGAUUCUUGCAAUUCAAUGUGGCAUACAUAUUGGUCAACAAUCCAUGCCGAAGACAACAAAAUCUGCCAGCUUGCGCAAAGAAUAGCAAAUCCUAUAGCAUUAUCAAUCUCUACGACGAAUAGGGCAAAUAGGCUAUAUCAUCUUAAUAUCCAAAAUAUGUCGGGUAAACAACAGUGUCCGCUUAGCACAAGAACCAAAUGGAUUAGCCAUGCAACUCGUCAACAGUCGAUCUAUAAGAUGAAUGCGAGCACCGUAUACGAAUAAGCGACGAACUCUAAGCCAUCAAGUAAAAUAGAUUACCUGCACCACAUCUCCCUGCUGCGCCUUCUCGUCUGAGCGGAUCGACAUGAAAGAAAAAAGCACUCGGGGCCUAUGAAGGUGAGAAAUGAGGAAAUUUGAUCUACCACAAGCUCCAAAAGCAAGCUCCAAGCCUCCAAAGGUGAGAGCCGGCAGAAAUGAGGAAGAACGAUGGUGCUCAAGCCUCAAGCAAGCUCCUCUUCUUCUUCUUCUCCUUCUUCUCUUCCCUUUCUCUCUCUAGAAGUGUAAAGGAGGUAGUGAGGCGAGAGAAAAUGGAAUGAGAGGGGAGGAGAGGCUGCAUAGCCUUAGGUAAACAAGCCACUUAGGCCCUCAAAAGAAUUCACUCUGCUGCACUGCCCGGCGUCACUGGGCAGUUUUCGCCGCAGAGCGACGGGUCUCCCCGUACUUGGGACGGUCUCUCAGCGCCCCGAAGAUNNNNNNNNNNNNNNNNNNNNNNNNNNNNNNNNNNNNNNNNNNNNNNNNNNNNNNNNNNNNNNNNNNNNNNNNNNNNNNNNNNNNNNNNNNNNNNNNNNNNUUGAUCUGCAAGCAGGUUGAGUAAUUACCAGCUGAGGUGAGGGUUCGGAAACAUGUUCCCAAGAUGGCUUUCGAAUAUAGUACGGGGCAUUUUAGGAUUGUACAAUGAUUACCUUUUGUACUUGAUUAUGAUCUCGCCGCUUUGUGGGAUUUGUUGAUGACAUCGGUAUUCUAACACAGCCGUUCUUUGGGAUAAAUUUGUAGUACAAGUAUUUUCUUGAUAGAUAUAUCUGAUGUUACUACCAGGGUUGAUGCAAGGGGACCCGCAGAGGAGCACUGAGGAUUGUGUUAAACUUCUUGAAAAGAAAAGAAAGUUGUAUGCAAGUUGAAAAACUGCGAUUUUGGCUUCGGGAUUGUUGUUUAUUAUCGCGGCCAUGUUGAUUUUUGCAGUUGGGAGUUGCAGUCUGAUCCGAAGAGAUUUGAAUGCGACUUCAGGAAUUUUGCCGAGACCAGACACGGUUACCGCCCGGGUGAAGGCAGUUUACUUUGGAUUGACUGGUUAUUACCGUCGGUUGUGGAAGAGUUUUGCGAAGGCUUUCACACCCCUCACUCGAUUGACUUCAUAAGGGAUCCGGUUCAUCUUGGCGUGAAGAUUGUUAAGGGAGCUGCGAUGAGUUGAGGCGGCAAGGUGAUGUUGGGCUUCCUAUUCUUGCUCUUCGUGUGAUGGGGGAAGCGAUUUCGUUGAUUCUACAGUGAUGCGUUUCAACAGCCGGUUUUGGGUUGUAUUUUGAUUGAGCUGGAUAGAGUAAUUGCUUAUUGGCUUCUCGGGUAGGUAAACGGAAUUACUGAGAGAAUUUACCCUACGCAUGAUUUGGGGUUGCCUUGUAGAUUUGCUCUGAAGUUGUGGCGCAUUAAUCGUAUCGGUGAGAUACUGUGAAGUUUUUAAAAUCACAAAGAGUCUUCAAAGUAUCUGUUCAUUUCAGAAGCGAAAUUGAACUGGAGCAUGCAGUGGGUGGAGUUAUUGAAGGAUUAUGAUAUCCGUAAUUCAGAUCACCCUGGUAAGGCGCAAUGUCAGUGCAGUGUGCUUGAACAGAGGUGGAGUGCAGACCUCAGAUAGAUGAUCACCAACAAUGGCCGUUUACUUGAGGAAUUACAAGUUUUUAAAACUUUGAGGUGGAUGUUCCCUGUGGAACCACUGCUAGAAUGAUUCUAUGGUCUCUGCAAGCCCACUUCUUGUUAAUAGGAUCAGGAAGAACAAAGUGGAGGACCUCAUUUGUUGCAGGAUCGAAGAGCAGAUAAGAAGGGGACUGGACAGAGGAUUUUCGCUAUGGACAGUUUGGGAUACUGCAGGUACCAGGGACCACUGGUAGUGGUGCCUAUAGAUUCAGAAGCACCAAAGGAGAUUUUCGGAGGAGGGGCUAUUACUCGCCUUAUAGGUUCACCUGGUGGAAACCAGAUGUAUAUAAGAAUUGAAGCCACAUUUCUGUGGAAUGGAAUGGAAGAGGGGAACACUUAAAAGAUGUAAUUGGGUCAGAGUGUUGAUUGUUUCAAACAGGUGAAGGCGGGGGAGCAUCGUGGUGCUUGCCUGGGCAAGCGUCUGAAGCUUUUCAGGUUGCGAUAGUGGAAAAAGGGAUAUCAGAAUCACCAUGAACUUUGUGCGGUUGGAUUUAACGAAGAGCUUUCAGGGCUGGAUGUGAUGCUUUCUGGCGUGAUAAGGUGGAUAGGACGGAUCAAAGUCUGCCACUUCUAUCGUGCAGGGGGGACCCUUAAGGUCAGAGGCAGCGGGGGACUGCUGGUUAUUUUGGAUGAGGUAGUGUGGUCUCAUGGUGUCGCCUACUCGAUUGUAUCAAAUAGAGGACGCCGAGGUAUCUCGGCGGUUUCUGAGAGGAGCUCUCGACGGGCUGUGGGGGGUACGCGCUUUAUUUAUAGUAUGAGCCUUUUUCAAUCACGGGACAGUGGUCAGGCGAGGGACCAUUCCAGGACUCUAGAGGACAUGUGGAGCUUUGUGUUCUGGAUUUUGAGGAAGGUGGUUCGACACUUCAGAUGGUUGAGUUUACGUACACAACAACAGCUAUCAAGCGAGCAUUUGAAUGGCUCUGUUUAAAGCGUUGUAUGGACGCAAAUGCCGAUCCCCUUUACAUUAGAGUGAUGUGGGUGAGAGGAAUAAUUUGGGCCCUGAUAUUAUGUUGGAAAUAGAGAAAAAUGUCAGAGUUGUGCGACAACAUCUUGAGACCACCCAGAGUUGGAGUUUCAAGUUGGAGACCAUGUGUACCUGAAAGUCUCGCCGUCCGGAGGGAUUCGCAAAUUUUGGGUUCGUGGAAAGCUCAGUCCACGAUUUGUUUGCCCUUUUGAGGUUUUGGAGCGAGUCGGGCCAGUGGCUUAUAGGAUUGCACUUUCCUCGCGACUUACCGGUAUCCAUAAUGUGUUCCAUGUCUCAGCUUUGAGGAGAUAUGUUUUCGACUCCUCUCACGUGAUUGACUUUACUCCACUUAAGUUAGGCGAGCACCUGAGGUACGAGGAGCGACCGGUGCGGAUUCUUGUUCGUGAGACGAAAGAAUUGCGCAACCGGGUCAUACCAUAUGUGAAAGUGCAGUGGAGUAAUCAUAAGGAGCGUGAGGCGACUUGGGAGCCGGAGACUAUGAUGCAGGAGUUCUACCCCUACUUGUUUGAGGCACCGUGUUGAGAUAUGAUUCUAAGUUUCGAGGACGAAACUUUUUGUAGUAGAGUAGGAUAUAGUGUCCCUGGGGUUUAGCUGUUUGAGAGACUUCAGCAUCUGUGGCUUGUCCACACGUCUGGUAAGUGUCGGGACAAGUCGGAGUCGUUUUGGCGCGAAUUGGACGCAAAACGGACUUGGUGCAGUGCAAGAGUGGAAUUCUGACACUAAAAUCUACAAAGUGCAGGAUUUCAAUGUUGAGAACCAGUACCUGGGAUGAGUACCGAUACCCCAAAGGGAUUACAGAUUUGAAUGCUCUCGGAUUUGUACAGUUUGAUACUGAGUACCGAUACUUGUUGGUGAGUACCGAUACUGGGACUGAGUACCGGUACUGCAUCGGGCUAGUACCACAAUCCGGCGUGCGAGUUUGCGGAAAGAGGGCCGAGUACCGAUACCCAAGUUGAGUAGCGGUACUCCAAAAGGCAAAUCGAGUUGGUAAGAGGUAUUUUGGUCUUUUUGGGCAGAUAAGUACCAACUGACCCCAGCCUUCUCUCUUUGUGCCUGAGGUUGGAGAACACAGGCUGGCUUCCUUCUUUCUCUCUCUAGCUUCUCUUCUUUGUUUCUUUGUGAUUUUGGAGAGUCGAUCUUAGUUUUUGUUCGCUUGGUCUUUGGAGGUUGCUCGCGUACCUUGGAUGGUUCCGAUGGAGGUUGAGCCAUUUGAGGUAGGGCUAGCGCGGGGUUCUCCUAUCGACUUCUAGCCGACGUUGGACGAGUGUUCGAGAUGGGUUAAUGUUUAUCGAAAUCGUCGGAUUUACUUCUAAGUCAUAGAGUUAGCAGCAUGUAUUUCUUGGCUUUGUUUAUCAUGUUUAGUAGCUCGAAUUCAUAGAUUUGCAUAUCUUUUAUGAAACCUGAAUUUGGAGCCUAAUUUAAUAAAUUUAGAAGAUUUGUUACAUGCUGGACUGGGAUUUGACUUAGGAAAAAACUCGUAGAACCUACACUGUCACUUUUCGAAAAGUAAACGAAUUAGCUUCAGGAGCUGUUAUUCUUUUGCAUCACCGCUGUUAGUGCAUAGUGGAUACUCAGAUUAGUGUAGGUUGAGGUUACGCUCGUGCUGAGGGGGCGAGCUUGAUUUUAUAGUAGGGUUUGUACUGUUUUGUACUGUCAGGUGUCGUCGGGUGUUGAUGGUGGACCCGGAUGUUUACAUCUUAUUUCAGAUUUGUGCCGAGGGCACGUGAGCUUUGGUUAUUAGACCAAUUUAACCCAUUUGCAUUAAUUAUAGCCUGUGUGAGCCUGAUUGAGCUCAACAGAAACACUCUUGCAUACUCGGUUGGGUCGCUCCCACGAGUGCCGCUCCGAAGUGAGGUUUUACUGGCGUUGGUGUUGCAGGAAUCCCGUUUGAGCAAUUCUUGGACCGGCCACCACCGUGAGUGGUGUGCGGUGUAGCUUGGGUACAAGCUGGACGAGCCAGUUGGCAGUCCCUCGAGAUUGGAUCAGUGUGUAGCUAGUGAUACAUUUCUGUGUCUACAGUGAGCCUGGUUUGGGAUAGCGGUAGUAUAAUGGCAUAGAGCUGUAGAGUUUCUUCCAUCUUUCUUACUAUCCUUUACCUAUUUGUGUCUUACCUUACUGUAGACUUAGUGGGUGGGCCGUUGAGGUCGAUGACGAUACCCGCUGAGGACUACUCUGUUUUGCAGUAGUUCUCACACCCAGUUGUUGCCACCUUUUUGCAGACCCGUCCGCUGCUGUUGCUGCUGCUGUUGCUGAUUCCGACCACAGUACGAAAAUUUCUAUGUAUACAGCGGGUAUGUUGGUGUGCUCGAAAAAACGUGGUAAUCUGAAGCGUAAUAAAUAUUUAGUUAGCAAAAUUGAAUUGUGCGAUUUAAUUACAAUAAUUUAAAAAGUGUGAGCCAAAAUUUUAGUACAUUAAUUAAAGUUAAAAACUAAAAUUUUACUUACCUUAAAUUGCCAAACAUUGUAAUUUAGCAUAAAAAAAAAAAUCAGUAACGAUACCAAAUAAGAAAAUUAAUUUACUAUUUUGUGUAUUUUAGUGAUACCAACGUUUCCCACUGAUUUUCUUUUUUUUUCCCAGCGGUGGUGGUGUAUUGUGCGGUCCCGUGCUGACGUGCAUGCGUUUAACAAUAUUUCUAACAAACGAUUCCAGAAUAAACUUCAAAUAUCAACCCCUCUGUUUCGUACUUUCUUACUUUAGUAUUAUAUACUAUAUGAUUUUAUUUUUUUCUUUUCGCCGACCCAUCCGUUAAUUUUUUAUUAAAUUAUAUACAAAAAACUUCAGAUAUUUCAUCUAUAGUUUAUCGAAUAUUUAUUUUAGCAUUCUUUAGUUUUAACUUUGUCACUAAUUUAACAAAAAAAAUUAGUGAAGAAAAUAACAAAAAGAAAAAAAUAAAACCACAAGAUACGAAAAUAAUACACUUUAAAUUAUAUGAUACUAAAGUAAAAAAAAACGAAACUACAGGAAUAAUAUUUAAAGUUUUCCCAACAAGAUCAGAAUAUGGUGAACCAAAAGAUCCCAAAGCAACAACUUUAAUAAGAAGCUAUUGAAUUUAUUAGGGAUAUAUACCAGUGCUUGUUUGGCUCUAGAUCUCAAACAGGAAAAAUUCUAGAAUGCAACAGGUAUAUUGAUGACGUGGCGUAACAAUCCAAUCAAAUGUAUUUUUUUAGAGAUAUAUAUGCCAUCGUGAUUAUAAAAAAAUAUUUUUAUUAUACUUUUAUUUAAAAAAAAAUGAAUAUAAUUGGCUUGCUAUUGAUGACGUGGUGCAAGUGUGACCGUAUAGAAUUCCUCCACAAACAGA
rnacentral:lncRNA from 1 species